UCCCGUGUGGUCCAGCGGCCAAGACGCUCCGCUCUGAACGGAGAAACGCAGGUUCGAUUCCUGCCCCGGGAA
rnacentral:tRNA from 1 species